ACCAGCCGUGAAAAUCUCUAGAAGAUGAUGGUGUUCUUUAAAACACUUCGAAAUAAUGGGAAGAAAACCACCGCUGGGCUUUGCCUGCUGACCUGGGGAGGCCAUUGGCUGUAUGGAAAACACUGUGAGCAGCUGGGACUAUGGGUGUUUGGCAAUCAACUCAUUCCUCCCAAUGCACAAAUGAAGAAGGCAACUGUUUUUCUCAAUCCUGCAACUUGCAAAGGCAAAGCCAGGACUCUAUUUGAAAGAAAUGCUGCCCCAAUUUUACAUUUAUCCGGCAUGGAUGUGACUACUGUUAGGAUAGAUUACGAGGGACGAGCCGAGGAACUCCUGGACCUGAUGGAAAACACAGAUGUGAGCAUUGUUGCAGGAGGACACGGGACAGGCAGGAGGUCGUAACUGGACUUCUUCGACGACAGAUGAGGCUACCUUCAGUAAGAUUCCCAUUGGAUUUAUCCCACUGGGAAAGACCAGCAGUUUGAGUCAUACCCUCUUUGCCGAAAGUGGAAACAAAGUCCAACAUGUUACUGAUGCCACGCUUGCCAUUGUGAGAGGAGAGACAGUUACACUUGAAGUCCUGCAGAUCAAGGGGGAAAAGGAGCAGCCUGUGUUUGCAGUGACCGGCCUUCGAUGGGGAUCGUACUGGUGUCUUGGGCCUCUAAAAACCAAAGCAGCCCACGUUUUCAGCAGACUCAUCAAGCCUCUGUCUCGUACACGGGACCUACAGAGAGACCUCCCAGCGAACCAGAAGAGACACCUGUACAACGGCCUUCUUUGUACAGGAGAAUAUUACGAAGGUUUGCAUCCUUCUGGGCACAACCACAGGAUGCCCUUUCCCAAGAGGUGAGCCCAGAGGUCUGGAAAGAUGGGCAGCUGUCCACCAUUGAACUGUCCAUCACAACACGGAACAACCAUCUUGACCCAACUAGCAAGGAAGAUUUUAUGAACAUCUGCAUUGAACCUGACUCCAUCAGCAAAGGAGACUUUGUGACUAUAGGAAGUCGAAAGGUGAGGAACCCCAAGCGGCAUGCUGAGGGCAUGGAGUAUCUCCAAGCCAGCCAGUGCACUUUGCUUGUCCCCGAGGGGGCCGGGGGCUCUUUUAGCAUCGACAGUGAGGAGUAUGAAGCAAUGCCUGUGGAGGUGAAACUGUUCCCCAGAAAGCUGCAGUUCUUCUGUGAUCCUAGGAAGAGAGAGAUGCUGGCAAGCCCCACUCAGUGAGCAGGCAGAAGAUAAGUGCUCUGUGACCACACUUUAGGCCACCGGUGGGACCAAAAGGAAACAGGAGCCUCAACCAUCCCAACAGUGUUGUCAGAGGGUCCCAAGGGCAUUUUCAGGCAAGUACCCCUCUGCCCUCUCCAGCAGUGCUUCCCAGUGUGCUCUGUCACCUGCUUUGCAAUCAGCUUUGUUCGUGCAUGUUUUAUUUUGGUGUGACGGUCGACCCUCCUAAACACGAACUUUCCUCAGGCUGGUUCAAGAUGGAAAAAGACUUCCUUCUGAUUUCUUCCGUAAUGCAACCACAGUGGAGAGCCCACAGUGGGCUUAGCCUGCCUAAGCCCUUCCAUUCUUGUUCUGUUCCUUGACCAUGCUGGUAAUUCCGGGGAAAGUGCCUUACUUCCCUGGUGACCCUUUCCUACUUCUAGGCUCCUCCAUGGGUGCUGCUAUUUUGUGAGCUCCGGCUUCUGUUUAGCUUUUAUUUCAGUUCUCUAUCCUCAGUCCAGAAAUGUAUGUGAGGUUGUUUCCACCUCCAGCCAUGGCUACAAUACUGUAAAAUGCUAGUUUUUAUUUUCUUAAGUAGUGCUUCCUAAACGGUUUGCAUGAGAGCCACCUGGGAUGCAUGUUGAAAAUUUGUUUGGGGUCCACCCCAAACCCAAUAACCCAAUUUGGGGAAGGGGCCCAGGAGUGUGCAUUUUUUUACAAGUCGGCCACCCUUCCCAGGUGAUUCUGUAAGUUGUCCCUCAACCAUACUUGGAGAAAUAAUAGUGUUUUAGAAAACAGUGGUCCACAAAGUGUUCUGCUCAUGUGCCCCCAAAAGUGUUUGAAAAAUCAUGUAUCCCCUCACCCAUCUAAG